GAUUUCUGACGAAACUGCUAGCUGGCCCGUCACGUCAGUGAUGUGUGCCGGCUUGGCGUUUGUCAUCCGUUCGAAUGAUAUGCGCGCUGCCCUUCACUGGGUUGGUGCUGCAUGUUUUCGAUCUUUUACUUUGAAAAAAUUAGAGUGUUUCAAGCAGGCUUUAUGCUAUGAAUACAUUAGCAUGGAAUAAUAAUUUAGGACUUCGGUUCUAUUUUGUUGGUUUCUAGGACUGAAGUAAUGAUUGAUAGGGAUAGUUGGGGGUGCUAGUAUUCAGCGGCCAGAGGUGAAAUUCUCGGAUUCGCUGAAGACUAACUUAUGCGAAAGCAUU
rnacentral:rRNA from 1 species